rnacentral:rRNA from 1 species
GACGAACGCUGGCGGCGCGCCUAACACAUGCAAGUCGAACGAGCGAGAGAGAGCUUGCUUUCUCGAGCGAGUGGCGAACGGGUGAGUAACGCGUGAGGAACCUGCCUCAAAGAGGGGGACAACAGUUGGAAACGACUGCUAAUACCGCAUAAGCCCACGACCCGGCAUCGGGUAGAGGGAAAAGGAGCAAUCCGCUUUGAGAUGGCCUCGCGUCCGAUUAGCUAGUUGGUGAGGUAACGGCCCACCAAGGCGACGAUCGGUAGCCGGGCUGAGAGGUUGAACGGCCACGUUGGGACUGAGACACGGCCCAGACUCCUACGGGAGGCAGCAGUGGGGAAUAUUGCACAAUGGGGGAAACCCUGAUGCAGCGACGCCGCGUGGGGGAAGAAGGUCUUCGGAUUGUAAACUCCUGUUGUUGAGGAAGAUAAUGACGGUACUCAACAAGGAAGUGACGGCUAACUACGUG